GGGCCCGUAGCUCAGCUAGGCAGAGCAAUCGGCUCUUAACCGAUGGGUCGAGGGUUCGAAAGGUUUGGAAACAAGCCCGAACAUCCCUCCGGGCCCG
rnacentral:tRNA from 1 species